UGUACUGUUUGACCCUCCUCUCUAUAUUCAAAGAUACCGACUAGUCUUGGAUAUAGUAGAGAAGGAAGAAAAGGAAUAUGGAAUUUUUAAGUCGUUUGUUGAUCUUGGCUGCAGUGAGUGUAAGUUUCUCAGGUAUUUCCGUCA